AGUGAGAGGAAGAAUAAUUGGCCGAUAACUUCUUCCUCCAAUAAGAGAGGUUUUUCCUGAAUUUAGGAGGGAGAAAAGUUGUAGGAGUGUCAUGCUCGGAAAAAGGGGGGGUGAUGGAUCACUUGAGAACUCGACAUCAAUCAUUGUUGAUGCUGAUGCAAGCUGGUCCUUCAUCAACCAAAGGAGAUAUGAUGAGAAACCUCGAAUAUGGUGUGACUACUACAACAAACCUUGUCAUACUCGGGAAACCUAUUGGAAAAUCCAUUGGUCUAAAUAUUGAAAAUGGUGGAGAUUAACCGGAUUUUCAAAUUUCUUGCUGGUCUAAAUAUUGAAUUUGAUGAAGUGAGAGGAAGAAUAAUUGGCCGAUAAUGAGAUUCACUCGGCGUUGAUGGAAAAUGCAGAGUGUAUAGAAGUCCCAUUUGUAGAAAAUGAGAUUCACUCGGCGUUGAUGGAAAUGAAUGGGGACAAAGCCCCUGGCCCGGAUGGUUUUUCUGUUGCAUUCUGGCAAAACGCAUGGGCCUUUGCCAAAGAGGAGAUUAUGGAGAUGUUUAAGGAAUUUCACGAGCAUAGUACCUUUGUUAGGAGCCUCAAUAAUACUUUUCUGGUGUUGAUUCCUAAGAAAAGUGGGGCGGAGGAUUUGGGAGACUUUAGACCCAUCAGUCUGUUGGGGGGCCUAUAUAAACUUUUGGCUAAAGUCUUAGCUAACAGGCUCAAAAGGGUGAUUGGUAAGGUGGUAUCUAGUGCGCAAAAUGCCUUUGUAAUGGGGAGACAAAUUCUGGACGCGUCUCUAAUUGCUAAUGAGGUGAUAGAUUCGUGGCAGAAGAGAAAAGAAAAGGGUCUUAUCUGCAAAUUGGAUAUAGAAAAAGCCUAUGAUAGCAUUAAUUGGAACUUUUUAAUGAAGGUCCUCCAAAAAAUGGGCUUUGGGAACAAGUGGGUGGGAUGGAUGUGGAGCUGUGUAUCUUCUGCUAAAUUCUCUAUUCUUGUUAAUGGAGUGCCAGCUGGGUUUUUCCCUAGCUCUAGAGGGCUUCGUCAAGGAGAUCCUCUAUCCCCUUACCUUUUUGUUAUGGGAAUGGAGAUUUUGGACGUCCUCAUCAGGAGAGCAGUGGAGGGGGGGUAUCUUUCAGGAUGCAACAUUCGGGAUGGUAGUAGUACUUCAUUGCAUAUUUCCCAUUUGUUUUUUGCUGAUGACACGAUUGUGUUUUGUGAGGCAAACAAAGAUCAAGUCUCUCAUCUUAGCUGGAUUCUCUUUUGGUUUGAAGCAGCCUCGGGUCUUCGUAUGAAUUUAGCCAAAAGCGAAAUAAUCCCAGUUGGAGAAGUGGAGGAGAUUCAGGAGUUGGCUGCUGAGUUAGGGUGUAGGGUGGGGUCCUUGCCCUCCCAUUAUUUGGGUCUCCCUCUAGGGGUACCAAAUAGGGCUUCUUCUAUGUGGGAUGGAGUGGAAGAGAGGGUCAGGAGGAGACUUGCGCUUUGGAAAAGACAGUACAUUUCCAAAGGGGGGCGGAUCACUCUCAUAAAAAGUGCCCUGGCUAGUAUGCCAAUCUUCCAAAUGUCUAUCUUCCGUAUGCCUAAGUCCGUUGCUAGAAGGGUGGAGAAAAUCCAAAGAGAUUUCCUUUGGGGGGGUGGAAAUUUGGGAGGUAAAAUUCAUCUAGUAAAAUGGGAUGUGGUCUGUACAGAAAAACGCAAUGGAGGGCUAGGAUUAAGGAGAAUAGCCACUCUGAAUAGAGCCUUGUUGGGCAAGUGGAUUUGGAGGUUUGCAUGUGAAAGGGAUAACCUUUGGAAACAAGUGAUCUCUACCAAAUACGGGCAAGAGGAUUAUGGGUGGAGGGCUAAGAAGGUUAGUGGGGCGGCUGGAGUUGGGGUCUGGAAGGAGAUUAUGAAAGAAUCUGAUUGGUGCUGGGAAAAUUUGUCUUUUCUGGUUGGGAAGGGCUCCAAAAUCAAAUUUUGGAAAGACAGAUGGUGCACUGAUACUCCAUUGUCCCAAUGUUUCAACCAUCUCUUUGUCCUUGCCGUGCAUAGAGAUGCCUCGAUUGAGGAGAUGUGGGACCAUCAUUCGGGUCAAGGAGAUUGGAAUCUGAUUUUUGAGAGGGAUUUCAAUGAUUGGGAGCUGGAUAUGGUUGGUGAUUUGCUCCGUACUUUGAGGGGCCAUAGGCCUUCCCUGGAGGAUGACUCAAUCAAAUGGAGGCAAGGAAGGAAUGUUUCUUUCAGGGUCAAAGAAGCCUACAGGUUGUUGGAUAAAUCUAAUGCCUCCUUGUUUCCCGCAAGGGGAAUAUGGGUGGAUAGGGUUCCAAUGAAAGUCAGUUUUUUUGCUUGGGAGGCUACUUGGGGGAAGGUGCUCACUCUGGAUAAGCUUCAGAUAAGAGGGGUGCAACUUCCAAACUGUUGUUUUUUGUGUGGUUGUGCAGAAGAGAAUGUAAAUCAUAUUCUUUUACAUUGUAUAGUGGCUAGAGCCCUCUGGGAUAUUAUUUUUGGGUUGUUAGAUAUUAAGUGGGUUUUCCCAGAAACGGUUAAGGAGGCUUUAACCUCCUGGAGGGGCUCUUUUGUUGGGAAGAAAAGGAAACAGAUAUGGAAAUCCAUUCCGUUGUGUAUUUUUUGGACGGUUUGGAAGGAGAGAAAUAGGUUAGCUUUUAGGGGGGGUGUGGUGAAUGUUCAGAGGUUAAAGAAUUCUUUUGUUUGUAAUUUAUGGAAUUGGGCCAAAGUGUAUUUAGGUGAGGAGGCUUUCUCCCUUAUAGGCUUUUUGGAGUGGAUAGCUUCCACUUGAGGGGAGGUAGUUCUUUCUGGUCCUUUUCUUUUUUGAGGCUGUAUCCAUCUUGUAUACUCCCUGUAUGCUUUGUGGCGUCUAGCCUUUUUUAAUGCAAUCUUGUUUACUUAUCAAAAAAAAUAAUUGGCCGAUAAUGUCUUCCUCCAAUAAGAGAGGUUUUUCCUGAAUUUAGGAGGGAGGAAAGUUGUAGGAGUGUCAUGCUCAGAAAAAAGGGGGGUGAUGGAUCACUUGAGAACUCGACAUCAGUCAUUGUUGAUGCUGAUGCAAGCUGGUCCUUCAUCAACCAAAGGAGAUAUGAUGAGAAACUCGAAUAUGGUGUGACUACUGCAACAAACCUUGUCAUACUCGGGAAACCUGUUGGAAAAUCCAUUAGAAACCUAUAAACUAGAAAAGUAACAAACCUAGUGAUAGAACUAGCCAUAUGUUUCCUUCUACUAAUGAGACUGAGACAAGUCUAAGUCC
rnacentral:lncRNA from 1 species